GAUGAACGCUAGUAGUAUGCUUAACACAUGCAAGUUGAACGGAAUUUUUUUUCGUGGCGAACGGGUGAGGAUAUGCAAACUACUUCCUUUUAGUUCAGAAUAAAGUUUACUUUUGUAAAUUAAAUACUGAAUAUUUUAAAAGGUUUAUAGUUUUACUAUAUUCCGCUAAAAGAUGAGUUUGCUUAAGAUUAGGUUGUUGGUAAUUUAAAAGCUUACCAAGCCUACGAUCUUUAGUUGGUCUGAGAGGAUGAUCAACCACACUGGAACUGAAAUAAGGUCCAGGCUGAUACGUCGGCCAGCAGUGAGGAAUAUUGGACAAUGAACGAAAGUUUGAUCCAGCAAUACUACAUGGGUGAUGACGGCUUAUUUAAGUUGUAAGAUCCUUUCAUUAAAGAAGAUAAUGACAUUAUUUAAAGAAGUUAAGUCCCGGCUAAUACUCGUGCCAGCAGCCGCGGUAAUACGGGAGGGGCAAGCGUUAUCCGGCAUGACUGGGCGUAAAGAGUCCGUAGACGGUAAAGUAAGUUUUUUGUGAAACUUUAAAACCUAAUUUUAAAUAAGCAAUUAAUACUGCUUUACUUUGAGUUUAAUACAGAAAAGUGGAAUUUUAUACGACAGGGGUGAAAUCUGCAGAUAUAUAAAGGAACACCAGUAGCGAAGGCGACUUUUUAGUAUAAACUGACGUUGAGGGACGAAAGUGUGGGUAGCAAACAGGAUUAGAGACCCUGGUAGUCCACACCGUAAAUUCUGAGUGCUGUAAUUUAAUUGUGGUACUUAUAAGUACUCACUUAGAUUUUCAAGCUAACGCAAUAAGCACUCCGCCUGAAGAGUACGAUCGCAAGAUUGGAACUCAAAGGAAUUGACGGGGGUCUAACACUAGUGGUGGAGCAUGUGGUUUAAUGCGAUAAUCCGCGCAAAACCUUACCAAUUCUUGACAUAAUAAACCAUUAUAACUUAUGU
rnacentral:rRNA from 1 species